UACGGGGGGGGGGCAAGCGUUGUUCGGAAUUACUGGGCGUAAAGGGCUCGUAGGCGGCCAACUAAGUCAGACGUGAAAUCCCUCGGCUUAACCGGGGAACUGCGUCUGAUACUGGAUGGCUUGAGUUUGGGAGAGGGAUGCGGAAUUCCAGGUGUAGCGGUGAAAUGCGUAGAUAUCAGGAGGAACACCCGUAGCGAAGGCGGCACUCUGGGCCGGAACUGACGCUGAGGAGCGAAAGCGUGGGAGCGAACAGG
rnacentral:rRNA from 1 species